UUCUGUGAUAUUAUAAUAUAUCAUUGUUUUGGCAUAUAUGUUAUCAACCCCUUUAAUCCCCCCCCCCCCCCUAUAAUUUAGGGGUAUGAAAAAUAGAUGUUAGCCGAUUCUCAGACCUACCCAA